CUUCGCCAAAUACCAACCCACGCAGUAGCCCCCAACACUCAUCAGUAUGUAGAAAGCUCAUUUGGUGAAUGAUCGAAUUAGGAUCAGCAUACUCAGCAACAUUUUCUAGUCGACUGGUCAACAAGAUUCGGCUUCCAUUACUGUCAUGUGGAAGCAAGCUUUUGACUUUUAACACAAUCUCUCCAUCCCACACAUCGUCCAAGACAAUAAGGUAUCUCUUGUCCUUCAAACGUUUAUAUAGAUUCUCAACUACUUUUUCUGCGCUCUCUUGGCUUGAAUCAUACUUGAGGUCUCUUAUGGAAUGCAGAAGGCGACUGAGUACCUCUUCUUCAUAAUAGUUUUGUGAUACCAUUGCCCACGCACGAACAUCGAAGUGAGAUGCAAUAACCAGGUCAUUAUAAAUUUUUCUUGCUAGUGUAGACUUGCCAAGGCCUGCCAUCCCAAAAACUGAGAUGAUACAGAGUUCUGAUUUCGGAAGGCUCAGCAGAUGCUUAGUACGUGAAAUAUCAUCUUCCAUUCCGACAAUAGCAGUCCUGUUAUUGGAACGAGCAGGAGGAUAAGUGUUCUUUGAUUGCACAAUUUCUAUUUCGUUCCUCUCCAUCAUCUUCACCAAAUCUUCUGAAAUGGAAGCGACUUCUUCUAUUACCUCCUGCAAGCAUUCAUAUUUCUGCUCCCAUUCUGAGACUAUUUGAUUCGACAUAUUGGAUUCAAUUACAUCUUCAGCUUCAUACGCUGCAUAUCUGAUUCUUCCUUCCAAACCAAUAAUAUUCUCGCUACUUUUUGGUGAAAUAACAUCCAGAAAAUCCACCAAGAAGUUAACCUUUUCAUGGAGAGAUCUCAUGAUCUGCUGCUCUGUAUGAUGAAGAUUUAGAGAUUGAUCCUGAGGAUGCAGGAUCUGCUCUAAUGUUUGAGCAAGUGAAAGUAGAGAUGCAUAAGCCAUCUCAAUGGAAAGAGGAGUUUAGGCAAUGUCUCAAAAGGAUUUAAGGCAACUUUGGGGUCUCAAUGGAAAACGAAGGUUAGGCAAU
rnacentral:lncRNA from 1 species